rnacentral:rRNA from 1 species
AGAGAGAGACAUGCGCGCAUAUCAAUAAGCGGAGGAAAAGAAACUAACAAGGAUUCCCUUAGUAACGGCGAGUGAAGCGGGAAGAGCUCAAAUUUGAAAUCUUCAAGGUUUUACCUUGACGAAUUGUAGUUUAAAGAAGUGUUUUCUGCUGAAGUUUUGGUAAAAGUUCUUUGGAAUAGGACAUCAUAGAGGGUGAGAAUCCCGUAUUUGACCAUUAUUUUCAGCUUUGUGAUACACUUUCAAAGAGUCGGAUUGUUUGGGAAUGCAGUCCAAAAUGGGUGGUAAAUUUCAUCUAAAGCUAAAUAUUGGCGAGAGACCGAUAGCGAACAAGUACCGUGAGGGAAGAUGAAAAGAACUUUGAAAAGAGAGUUAAACAGUACGUGAAAUUGUCAAAAGGGAAGCGUUUGACACCAGUGUUGUUUUCUCGAAAAUCAAUUAAAAAUGGCUCGAUUUUGUAUUGUUGAGACCUUAAAAGCUCACUGUACAUUUUUCGUGUCUUUUUUAAUGCACUUUUCGUUUAACAAGUCAACAUCAGUUUCUUUUGUUGUAUAAGGGUCAUUGGAAGGUGGCUUUCUUUUCGGAGAAAGUGUUUAUAGCCUUUGGCCUCUGCAAUCGGAAGAGACUGAGGUCUGCAGCGUAGACUCUUCGGGGUUAGAUACAUUUGUGCUAAGUUAUAGCUUUUUAUAGACAACUUGUUGACUAUAAUUAGUCUUGUAGCUUACUCGCUUAUGCUAUUUUACCUACGCUUAGGAUGUUGAAGAUGUAGCACAUCAU